ACCAGAAGCCUCAGCAAGAUGUUUGAAAGACACCGGCUCUCCAAUGUUUGGUCCUCCUCACAUUCUGCAGUGUGAAUUUACCCUCAGUAACAUUCAAGGAAAUAUCUCCAGCAGUUCAGGUGAUUUACUACAGUUAGCCUUCAGUUCUCAGAUCCUGACUUCCCAACCAGAGCAGCUGUCAGCUGACAACAUCACCACGGCAGCUCAGAUUGCUAACACGCUGCUUCAGUCUGCAAAUAUCACAGAGGACAUCGCAGGACAUGAUGGUAACUACCAUCAGUCAGCUGCUGAAUGCCAGUGAGGAGAGUACACAGGAGAGAGACGCUGUCCAGAGAAUUCAUCUCAACACCAGUACCUCUGAUCUGAUAGCUGACAAAGGAGGUUCUACCGAUGUCCAGAUUGUCAUGAAAUUCCCUCCAGGUCCAGGGCUUUCAGUGCUUCUUCAGGAACCAGGAGAAGGGUCAUCUCUGCUAACCUGGGACAAGUGUCUGGGUUACAUGUUGAGAUGCUCUUCAAGCCCACAGUAAGAUUUAUCUUGGAAUCAGUAAACACAUAGUGAUCCAAAUUCUCUGGGAAACACAGUGGGAGGUUAUCCAUUAUCUAGUUAGGGGGUAGGCAGCACAGUUCCUGGAGUGCUGCAGGUAUUACAGGAUGUUGUUCCAACUAGGCACUUCAUCUGCUAAUUGGUCACUUCCUGGUCGGUUAAGUCAAAAACAUGAUGUGCCUGUGGCCCUCCAAGACCAGGGUUGCCUAACCCGGAUCAAAGUUAUUCAUUGACUCUUAUCAGCCAUAGGGAACAAGGUAGCAUAUUUGUCCAGUGAACAAGGAAGCACAUGUUGUAUUGUACAGUGGGGAGAACAAG